rnacentral:lncRNA from 1 species
AGUGCAAGCUCUGUGGGUAUAUUUUGAAUUAUGAAAGCAAGUAUGGGGCAGGUAAUUUGAAACGUCAUAAUGAUAAUGUCACGACCCAAAUUUCAGGCCAUGACCGGUGCAUGGGCCCAAUGGGCAUAGCCCACUAAGCCCAAGCAAGCCUAUUUAUAUGACCUGUUCAUCAUUCCAUCAAAAGUUCCUAAAUUCACAUUUCAUAAUUCCAAUUCAAAAUAAUGCUAACCAUUGCGAACUCAUAGUGGCAUUACCAAUCCAAAUAUACAUAUAUUGUCUAAAACAUACAUCUUAAUAUUUUACAUCGGGUUUGUCUAUACACAACCAAAGGGAUACUCGACUUCCAGCGGAGAGAUCUGGGCAAAAGUACAGCUAUUAAAUGUCGAGAUACCUACCACGGAGACAAAUCUACGAGGACACCUCGACCUAGUUACCAACUGCCUCCUGAUCUGAAAACAGUGAGUAUAAACCCAAUGAGUGAACAAAGGAAGGGAACAAGCAAACGAUAAGAAAAGUUUAAAGAAAUCAUGAUGCACUUAUUUUCAAAAACAAUGCAAUUUAGUUUAGUUCUUAUUAAAACCCCUCAUUAAACCCUUAAUUGGUUAAUCACUUGAUGAUGAAGGAUCCAUGCACAACAAAGAAUUUGAAGAGUGAAAACUUUAGUAGCAUUCAAGCAAGUCAAGCGAAAUAACUGAUCCUCGCUAUAGCGAAAAGGCAUUCUCGCUGUAGCGAAAUUUAGGCUCAAAUCAUUAGCUGGUCGAGGGUUUCUCACUAAAACCCUUCAUUUCAAACUUAAUUAAUUAAUUCCUUGAUGUUGGAAGUUCAUGAUCAACUAUGAUGUUAAAGAAGUGAAAAAUAUGGCAGAAACCAAACAAGGUAGCAAUCACGACAGAAGGUUUCUCGCUACAGCAAAACCACCUGUAGACAUCUCGCUGUAGCAAGAAUGUAUUAUAACUAUAGCGAGUUACAGGACUGCAGCCAGGCUCCCAACCAAAGAGUUUCUCGCUGCAACGAGAAACUGAACACCAAGAAGAAAGUUCUCAUUAUAUCAAGAAAAGGUCAUCCUGCUGCAAUGACAAAGUCAACUUGAAAAUACUUAGCAAUUUCCAAGGUUCAACAUGCAAGAUUUCACAUACAUUACAACCAUAUACCAUAUUCAUGAACUUUCUAUUGCAUAAAUAUAUAUAUAUAUAUAUAUAUAUAUAUAUACACNNNNNNNNNNNNNNNNNNNNNNNNNNNNNNNNNNNNNNNNNNNNNNNNNNNAACCAUAUACCAUAUUCAUGAACUUUCUAUUGCAAUAAUAUAUAUAUAUAUAUAUAUAUAUAUAUAUACACAUAUAUAAACACCAAUACCACCACUUCACCCAGCUCAUGUGCAUCCCUCACAUCGUGCACAGCUAAUACCGUCGUGUGCAUCCCCUACAUCGUGCACAGGCAACAUCAUCAUCCACACUCUCGCACCCGUCAUCACCGGCAUGCGCAUCCCCCACAUCGCGCACAUUCACGGUUAUAUUUAUUACACAAUAUUAACUAUUGAUACACAACAUAUAUAUAUAUAUAUCAGCAUCCUAUAGGAGCACAAAGAUUCAUCAUAUUACACACUCACCACAUAAAAUGUUUUAAUAAAGGCUUGUUCCCAUGCAUAAUCUUUAAGGAAAAAUCAAAUAAAAAUCAUUCACAUGCUUCAUCCAAAUACCAAUACAUUUCCCAAAAUAUUUUAAAUGCAAGUUAACUCACCUUGGUGGAUUUGUAAUUGAAUUUCUUUUCAAAAUUCUUCCAAGCUAAGAAGGGAAAUCACUCCCUCUCUCUCUACACGUCCAACUAGUGAGUGAAUGUACUUAAGAAAGACUUUUGAGGGCUAUUAAGGUGUAAAAGUGGAAGAGCAUGAAAAACCCUAUGAAAGAGUGUAGAAAAACAUGAGAAAUAAAGCUAAUUUGGGAAAGUUUUAAAGGUUUCAAAGGAUACUUCCAUGAAAGGUGCAAAGAAACAUGGAAUGGAGAGGAGGAUAGGAGGAAGAAGAAGAAGAGAAGCUGUUAAAAAACUAAAAAAAAGCUGCUGGAGAUUAGAUAUUUAUAGUUAAAGGUUAUCCAAUUUUCAUAGAAUUUACAACAAUGCCCUUAACAAGGCCAUUUGUCUUCCUCCUUUCCUUUAUGCACUCUUUUUACUCCUUUAACAUUGAGACAAAGUCCAUAAUAGUCUAAAAGUACUCGAGUUUACGAAAACCUAAAAAUUUAUGCUCGAGGUGCAAAAUAAUCAUUUUACCCCUACCAUAGAAAUUAUCAAUAUUUAUAUCUACUUCAUGUAUUUUACCCUCAUUCAUUUAUUCCUUAAGCCUACUUAGACCUUAAUAAUGUCUGAAAGUCUACUUUUAAGGGCUCACCAUGAGAAAUGAUGAAAUUACCCCUAGCCUAUGUUAUCGCGUCUACACCUAGUUACGGGGCCUGUAGAAGUCGAGGUCUCACAGAUAAUUGUGUUAGGAAAGACACACGUGAUAUAGGUCAAAUGAUUUUUUCUAAGGAACAUAAUUCAAUGUUAAUGAGGUCUUCAAAGUUUGAUCCUGAAAAGUUUUGUGAAUUAGUGGUAGCUGCAAUUGUGAUGCAUAAUUGACCUUUAUCAUUUAUGGAGUAUACUGGCAUUAGGUCUAUGUUGCCUUAUUUGCGUGAAGAUGUUGUUCUGAUCUCUAGGAACAUUGUUAAAGCUGAUAUAAUUAAGAUGCAUAAAAGAGAAAAAAGUAAGAUACAAUACCUGCUUCAAGAAUCACCUGAUAAGAUUUGUUUAACUUCUGAUUUGUGGACUUCUGUUGUUAUUGAUGGGUAAAUUUGUCUUACUGCUCAUUUUGUUGACAAAAAUUGGAUUUUACAAAAAAAAAUCUUGAAUUUUUCCUUUAUGCCACCUCCAGACAAUGGUGUUGUUUUGAGUGAAAAGAUUUAUGCAUUGUUAGUUGAAUGAGGAAUUGAAAGUAAAUUGUUUUCAAUAACAUUGGAUAAUGCUUCUGCAAAUAAUACUUUUCUUGAUUUGUUGAAAGUGCAAUUGAAUAUGAGAAAGCAACUUUUAGGAGGAGGCAAGUUUUUUCAUAUAAGAUGUUGUGCUCAUAUACUUAAGUUGAUUGUGCAAGAUGGUUUGAAAGAAGUUGAUAGUGCAAUGCAAAAUGUGAGGGAAAGUAUUAAGUAUGUGAAAGGUUCUUUGUCACGACCCGGUACUCCCCUCGAGCCCAUGACAACUCCCGCGGUGUCCCGAUCGAUACUCAUUACCCGAAAUGUCAACCGGAACCCCGCAAGGCUUUAAUAUCAGUUUCUCAUUUUCGUUGUGAGUAACCGUUGCUGAAUAUCAUGUUCUAAAAGAUUUUAAGCUAUUUCCAACUUAAAUCAAUAAAAAANGGGAAUAGCUAAAGCUGACUUUUAACCAAUUUUAUGGAAUUUUUAUUCUUGAAGAAUUGUUAUUUCGUGUGCUAAUUUUAAACCAAAUAAAGGUACGAGAAAAGAGUGGGAAUAGAGGAAUAGAAGGGGAAUAACAUAGCUAUUCCCCAUACCAAACGUGCAGUAAGUCCCUAGGUAUGGAGAUGCCUAGGAACAUUUACGUACCUCUGGUCUGCCACAUACAAAAACUAAUCAGGCUUGUGCUUCUGUAUCCACGUCACAUUUACUUUUCAUUACCAAAGCCGUUGAUGUUGUCUGAUCUCUCUUGCCAAGAUUAAAUUCCACAAGCCCAUUCACUCUGUCACGACUCGGAACUCCCAUCGACCUGUAACAACCGUCGCGUUGUCCCGAUCGACACUCAUUACUCAGAUUGUCAACUGGAACCCUGCAAAGCUUUAAUAUCAGUUUCUCUUUUUCCUGGUGAGCAUUCGUUACCAAAUAUCAUGUUCUAAAAGAAUUUAAGCUAUUUCCAACUGAAGUCAAUAAAAAAAAUGAUUUAUGUCUCACAUGGGCAUUUUAGUCAUUUUUCCUCAAAAAUCUCGAAACUAGCUAAAAAUGUAGUAUGCAAGUGGAAAACACAUAUUUCAUAAUCAAAAAUAAGUUUAGAUAUCUAAAACAUUCAUUUAAAGUGAAAUUAUAACUAUUUGAAUAUAAUAAAAAUAUUUAAUAAAAUAUUCUAUUUUCUUAUAAAACAAUACUUAUAGAGUUACCUGUAAAUAAUUUUUGUAGCGUAAAAGCUAAAUAAAUUCAUAAAUACUGUAAUACAAAUAACCAAAGUAUAAAAUUUAAUUUACAGUGACACGUGGGCCCACGAACGACUAAAAGUAUCAAAAGCAAUAAACCUACAGUUUUUGAGGAUGCAAGUCCAACUGUAGCCCUCAACGAAAUGAGCUAUCUACUGACUAUCCUGAGCCUAAAAUGGGUAAAAAGGAGGGUGGUGAGAUUAUAUAAUCCCAAUGAGUAAACAAAUAUCAUCUAAAAUAUCUAAAGCUGAAUAAAUGGAGACAGAUAAAAUAGUUUAACAUACUGUAAUUCAUCACCUUUUAACUCAUUUCAACCAAAUAAAAUCAAUUCAUAUAAAUCGAGUAAUCAACAUGGCUUAUGAAUUUCUUAAAACUUUGGCUAGUGCCAAAAUUAUUCUCAUACUCAGUUAUCAGGGAUACCUUGGUCGAGGGCUAUCCCAACCGAGUCUGCCAAGGUUGUUAAAAAGUUAUGUACGCAUAAAUCAUGUUUUUAUUUUGGAAACAUAGUCGUUCCUUGGCGUUGGCUGAGUUCGCCCUCACAUGGUGGUUUGGCGUGAAGUGAACUCUAAAGUUUUAACCUCAUGAGUUAUCCAAUUGUGCCCCUCAUACUGAGGUAUGAAUAUUAUAGGGUUAUCGUGCCCCUCUAAUAGGCUGGUCCACGGAACCCGUCCACUGCAGCGACUAAUCAAUAACCCUCCAAUUCAAUAAAAUUCAAUAGCAUGACAUGGCAAUUUUAUCAUUAUCCAGCCUAUCAAGGCAAACAAUAGUUUAUGCAUUUUCAACACAAAUACCAAUUCAACCAUUCCUGCCAAUAUUAUCAUAAGCCAUUCAAUUCAAACCAUGAUUUAUAAAACAACAAUUAGUCUCCAAUUACUCCAUUUUCAAAACCAUCAUUCAAUUUCAAGACAAUUUUAUAAAAUCAUUUCAUUUAAUCACAUUUUGUUUAUAAAACAUAAAGAUUUACUAUUUAAACUCAUUUUCCAUAAAAUCACAAAAUCGGAUAAAAACCACUUUAGAUAAUUAAGAUGAUAGUAAGGUUACUCACUGUUUCAGGAGUCGAAUUUUGAGUACUCCGAUUCUUGAUCCUCAGGUACUAUCUCUUUACUUUUGCCAGAAUGCUCACCACCUAGACAUAAUGCACAAUAAGCCAUUUAAUACAUUUGUGCUAAAUUGUUAUAAAACCAAUUCAGGCUUUAUACUAAUGCAUGAAAUGGGAUGUGAAAUACUCGGUUAACUAUCUAAAUAUGGUGUUCAAUAUAAAUUCAAUUAUGUACCUAAAUAAAACGGUAUUGGCCUAAUUCGAUCUAUCACCCGAUUAAUUGGCCAAUACGUCCAAUUCAACUCCGAAUAAUUUCAUUUUUCUCCCAAUACUCCAAAUCAUCAAACACAAGUUAAAUAACUUGAAUUAUGGCAAAAUCAUCCUCACAUUUUCUCUUGGAAAAAUCGACCACGGUGGGUGCAUCAACACUAUAAUUUUUCAAGCUUGAUUCUCACACCAUAAAUCACUAAUUUCUAACCAAAUCACUUGAAAUAAAUCAAAAUCAUCAUCAAUACUCUACAAGGAAGAUUCAGCCAAUGGAGGUUCUUAAGAGGUAUACGGUUUUUCAUGCUAAACAUUACCAUUUUCAGUUUCCACCACCACAAUUCAUUAAAUUCUAACUAAAUAACAUAAGACAUCACAAGAUUCAUCUUCAAUAUUGUCUUUAUGAAAUUCAGCCAAUGAAGAAUCCAUGAAGAACAUGUGAUUUUUCUUACUUGUUUUCCUUCCAAACAUGAUAAAUCAACUAUAAACACUAAAAUAUCUCAAAAUCUAACCAAAUAAAUCAUCAAAUCUUCUCUCUCUAAAUUCGGUCAGCCAUGAAUCCUUCAUGAUAUCUUGUGAUUCAUCCAUGGAAAAUGCAAAAUAAUGCAUGGAAAAGGUAUAUCACAAGUCAAAAUCAAGAAAGUUUACCUUUGAUUGCUUGAUUACUUGAAAUCCAUCAAUUUUCUCUUGAAUUUUCACUCUAGGGUUUUUGUUCUUCUUUUCUUCCUUUGUUCUUGCUAUGGCCGGCCAUGAGAAAUGAGUUGGGA